rnacentral:rRNA from 1 species
GGGUCAGUAGGUUGGUCGUGCCACCGGUACGUACUGGUCUCACUGAUUCCUCCUUCCUGAAGAACCGUAAUGCCAUUAAUUUGGUGUUGCGGGGAAACAGGACUGUUACUUUGAAAAAAUUAGAGUGUUUAAAGCAAGCUAACGCUUGAAUACAUUAGCAUGGAAUAAUGAAAUAGGACGAUCGAACCGAUUUUGUUGGUUUCUAGGAUUGACGUA